rnacentral:ribozyme from 1 species
AAACACAAACACAAACACAAAGAAGGAGAAAGAAAAGAAGAAGUAAAAAGGUGAAAGAGGUGAGACGACUAUUGUUGUAUGAAAAUGGUCAUAUGGUGCUGAUGUUAUUUAGGUGAUCUCUAACUAUAUUGCCAUCGUCCUCCUCGUCCUUCUCAUUGAUAUACAAAUGUGUGUGACGACAAAGGUGACAAAUAAAAGUCGAG